CCCAACAGAACCCCAACAGAUCCCCAAGGGAACAUGCAGGGGUGGGGGGUCAACAGCCCAGCAAAACAGCGACAAGAAGAGUCCCAAGAACACCCAGGGACACUGAGGACAAAGAGGGUGCCCCAGGCACCUCCCAGCCAGCAGAUCUCUGCCUGGUCCUUGUGGCGAGGAGUCGCCUGGAUAUUCCUGCCCGAAGAGGUUACAGAGAGGUAAUCAGCCACCCAGCUAGAGUCAAUGUCACUUCUAUGGUGAGAACCAGGCUUUUGGAUGCAUCCCUUCAAAUGGAAAGACGCUGCUGAGACAUUUCUUCUGAUGAAAAGAAGCAUGCAAACAAAAAAAAAACCACUCCAUAUUUAGAAUUCAAUAAAAUACUUCAUUUGAUCCUCUUCAGUUUCUUUGAAAAGUUCAACAUGAACACUCAAGUGCUGCAUUCCUUCAAACUGUGUGGAAGCUGCUGAUCUGGGAGUUGUGCAGCUUUGAUGUUCCAAGUGCUAAGAGAGGGUACUAUAAAAGCUGCUGUAAUUCAGAUUAUUCAGUGGGACCGUCCUGAUGGGUGUGAAACCUCAAUCUGGCAGAUUGAGUGGGAGAACGGAAGAUGCAGACACAAUUAAGCAGAUACUGCAAACAGGAGGAUAUGUUUAAUGGACAGAGGCUGUCAGGGUCUUGCAGUAACCAGUUCCAACCAAAAAUAUUUCCCCUUUGGAUUUGGUCAUCACAUCCCAGUUCUGCUCUCACAGUGGAAAAUUUGAAAAGGCUGGAAGAGGAAUAUGUGGCUUCUAAAGAAGCCUUCAAACUGCAGAGAAUGCAAGAUUAUGUUGAGCAGACUAAUCUUGCUCUCUUCCACAAAGAGACAGCUAGGAGAACCAGCAGAGAUUUUGUCUGUGAUGCAGAGCCUGAAGAAGCCUCCUUACCCCUUCCUGCUAAACAAGCAAAAAUUGCAAUGGAGUUUCCUGAAAUACUUCUGAAGAAAGAAGAGAUAUUGACAGAAUCAUAGAAUGAAUCAUCAUUGAAUGGUUUGGGUUGGAAGAGACCUUGAAGAUCAUCUCAAUCCAACCCCUCUGCCACGGGCAGGGACACCUUCCACUACACCAGGUUGCUCCGAGCUCCAUCCAACUCUGCCUUGAACAAUUCCAGGGAUGAGGCAUCAACAACUUGUCUGGACAACGUGUGCCAGCGUCUCACCACCCUCACACACCAGCAACAUAUUCUCCAUCAGCUCAGCCCACAGGACCUGUGCCAAAGGAAUCCAGGCUGCUCUUCCAGCUGGGGAAAAAAAAUAGGUCUGAUUCCCCAGCCACAAUAAAUCAGCAUAAUACCACCCUUCCCACCACUGGUGCUGCUGCAGCAACACGGAUUUACACCAUCUGGAGACGUGGCUCCCUCCUCCCUUCUGCCCGACGUAAACAUAGAGACAUAUCUAAUCUUCCUCGAAGAGAGAAGGCAGGGAAAGGAAAUUGAACAGACACUCUUGUGAAGAGGCAAACAAAGACCAAAUUCUUUUUAGUGACUUUAAACAGCACUCAGUUCAUUAAUAACAAUCUUUAUAGGAAUAUCCAAAUUAUUUUUUUUAACUUCUUUCUUCCCUUGGCACCAAGGGAAAUGGAUGCAAGCAGCUGUUUUAGGGAAAGCUGUUACGUUGUUACAGGAACAUGCUGCAAGGUGUUUUUUGGAUUGUAUUUUAUAAAUAACAUUCACAGAAAUUGUAAAUAUGUUAUAGAUUUUUAAUAAAUUUAAA